rnacentral:rRNA from 1 species
CUGAAUGGGGCAACCCAACUGAUACUUUGUUAUUGUUACACUUUGUGUAAUCAAUAAUGGGGUAAAACAGUUAUUAAUUACCUGAAUACAUAGGGUUUUUAAAGCAAACCUGGGGAACUGAAACAUCUAAGUACCCAGAGGAAAGGAAAUCAAUAGAUACUCCCGUAGUAGUGGCGAGCGAACCGGGACCAGCCGAGCAAUGAAUGUGACUAGAACCAGUUGGAAAGCUGGGCGAUAUGGGUGACAGCCCCGUAUAGGAAGCAUGAUUUGACGUAUUAAGUAGGGCGGAACACGUGAAAUUCUGUCUGAACAUGGGGGGACC